AGUUACCAUCAGGUAAGGCUGGGGACUCUAAUGAGACUGCCAUCGUAAGAUGUGAGGAAGGUGGGGAUGACGUCAAAUCAGCACGGCCCUUACGUCCGGGGCGACACACGUGUUACAAUGGGUGGUACAAAGGGCAGCUACCUGGCGACAGGAUGCUAAUCUCCAAAACCACUCUCAGUUCGGAUCGGAGUCUGCAACUCGACUCCGUGAAGCUGGAUUCGCUAGUAAUCGCGCAUCAGCCACGGCGCGGUGAAUACGUUCCCGGGCCUU
rnacentral:rRNA from 1 species